CCCUAGUAACGGCGAGUGAAGCGGCAACAGCUCAAAUUUGAAAUCUGGCGUCUUUGGCGUCCGAGUUGUAAUUUGCAGAGGGCGCUUUGGCAUUGGCAGCGGUCCAAGUUCCUUGGAACAGGACGUCACAGAGGGUGAGAAUCCCGUACGUGGUCGCUAGCCUUUACCGUGUAAAGCCCCUUCGACGAGUCGAGUUGUUUGGGAAUGCAGCUCUAAAUGGGAGGUAAAUUUCUUCUAAAGCUAAAUACUGGCCAGAGACCGAUAGCGCACAAGUAGAGUGAUCGAAAGAUGAAAAGCACUUUGGAAAGAGAGUUAAAAAGCACGUGAAAUUGUUGAAAGGGAAGCGCUUGCAGCCAGACUUGCCUGUAGUUGCUCAUCCGGGUUUUUACCCGGUGCACUCUUCUACGGGCAGGCCAGCAUCAGUUUGGGCGGUUGGAUAAAGGUCUCUGUCAUGUACCUCCUCUCGGGGAGAUCUUAUAGGGGAGACGACAUGCAACCAGCCUGGACUGAGGUCCGCGCAUCUGCUAGGAUGCUGGCGUAAUGGCUGUAAGCGGCCCGUCUUGAAACACGGACCAAGGAGUCUAACAUCUAUGCGAGUGUUUGGGUGUCAAGCCCGAACGCGUAAUGAAAGUGAACGGAGGUGGGAACCUUUCGGGGUGCACCAUCGACCGAUCCUGAUGUCUUCGGAUGGAUUUGAGUAAGAGCAUAGCUGUUGGGACCCGAAAGAUGGUGAACUAUGCUUGAAUAGGGUGAAGCCAGAGGAAACUCUGGUGGAGGCUCGCAGCGGUUCUGACGUGCAAAUCGAUCGUCAAAUUUGGGCAUA
rnacentral:rRNA from 2 species